rnacentral:rRNA from 1 species
AACAGGAUUAGAUACCCUGGUAGUCCACGCUGUAAACGAUGUCGAUUUGGAGUUUGUGCCAUUAUGAGCGUGGGUUCCGAAGCUAACGCGAUAAAUCGACCGCCUGGGGAGUACGGCCGCAAGGUUAAAACUCAAAUGAAUUGACGGGGGCCCGCACAAGCGGUGGAGCAUGUGGUUUAAUUCGAUGCAACGCGAAGAACCUUACCUGGUCUUGACAUCCACAGAAGUUUCCAGAGAUGGGAAUGUGCUUUCGGGAACUGUGAGACAGGUGCUGCAUGGCUGUCGUCAGCUCGUGUUGUGAAAUGUUGGGUUAAGUCCCGCAACGAGCGCAACCCUUAUUCUUUGUUGCCAGCGGUUAGGCCGGGAACUCAAAGGAGACUGCCAGUGAUAAACUGGAGGAAGGUGGGGAUGACGUCAAGUCAUCAUGGCCCUUACGACCAGGGCUACACACGUGCUACAAUGGCGCAUACAAAGAGAAGCGACCUCGCGAGAGCAAGCGGACCUCAUAAAGUGCGUCGUAGUCCGGAUUGGAGUCUGCAACUCGACUCCAUGAAGUCGGAAUCGCUAGUAAUCGUGGAUCAGAAUGCCACGGUGAAUACGUUCCCGGGCCUUGUACACACCGCCCGUCACACCAUGGGAGUGGGUUGCAAAAGAAGUAGGUAGCUUAACCUUCGGGAGGGCGCUUACCACUUUGUGAUUCAUGACUGGGGUGAAGUCGUAACAAGGUAACC